CCGUAGGUCUAAGUAUAAGCAACUAUACUGUGAAACUGCGAAUGGCUCAUUAAAUCAGUUAUCGUUUAUUUGAUAGUACCUUUUACAUGGAUACCUGUGGCAAUUCUAGAGCUAAUACAUGCAUAAAACCUCGACUUUCGAAGAGGCGUACAUAUUAGAUUAAAAACCAAUGCCCUUCGGGGCUAAACGGUGAAUCAUGAUAUUUAAACGAAGCAUAUGGCCUUGUGCCGAUGCUGGUUCAUUCAAAUUUCUGCCCUAUCAACUUUUGAUGUUAGUUUAGUGGACUAACAUGGUUUCAACGGGUAACGGACAAUAAGGGUUGGAUUCCGGAGAGGGAGCCUGAGAAACGGCUACCACAUCUAAGGAAGGCAGCAGGCGCGCAAAUUACCCAAUCCCAAUCCGGGGAGGUAGUGACAAAAAAUACUGAUUGCGAACUCUUUUGGGUUUGCAAAUCGGAAUGAGUACAAUCUAAAUCCCUUAACGAGGAACAAUUGGAGGGCAAGUCUGGUGCCAGCAGCCGCGGUAAUUCCAGCUCCAAUAGCGUAUAUUAAAGUUGUUGCAGUUAAAAAGCUCGUAGUUGAACCUUGGGUCUGGCUGUUCGGUCCGCCUCACAGCGUGUACUGGUUCGGCCGGACCUUUCCUUCUGGGGAACCGCAUGCCCUUCACUGGGUGUGUUGGGGAUCCAGGACUUUUACUUUGAAAAAAUUAGAGUGUUCAAAGCAGGCCUAUGCUCGAAUACAUUAGCAUGGAAUAAUAGAAUAGGACGUGCGUCCUCAUUUUGUUGGUUUCUGAGGGCGCCGUAAUGAUUAAUAGGGCCGGCCGGGGCCAUCGGUAUUCAGCUGUCAGAGGUGAAAUUCUUAGAUUCUCUGAAGACCAACUACUGCGAAAGCAUUUGGCAAGAACGGUUUCAUUAAUCAGUGAACGAAAGUUGUGGGAUCGAAGACGAUCAGAUACCGUCGUAGUCUCAACCAUAAACUAUGCCGGCUAGAGAUCAGAUGGUGUUAUUAUUUUGACCCAUCUGGCAUCUUGUGAGAAAUCAAAGCGUGGUUCUGGGGGGAGUAUGGUCGCAAGGCUGAAACUUAAAGAAAUUGACGGAAAGGCACCACCAGGCGUGGAGCCUGCGGCUUAAUUUGACUCAACACGGGGAAACUCACCAGGUCCAGAUUCAAAAAGGAUUGACAGAUUGAAAGCUCUUUCUUGAUCUUGAAGGUGGUGGUGCAUGGCCGUUCUUAUUUGGUGGA
rnacentral:rRNA from 1 species